AUGUCUUAAACUCAAGAGUAAGGAAAAUAACAAUCGGGGUGACACCCGAAUCCUCACUCCUAACAUGAGAUGGACUUUUGAGUGGGUAAAGGUUGCCUCUAAGGUGGCCUGCCUA
rnacentral:snRNA from 1 species